UACGUAGGGGGCAAGCGUUGUCCGGAAUCAUUGGGCGUAAAGAGCGUGUAGGCGGCCAGAUAAGUCCGCUGUGAAAUCUCGAGGCUCAACUUCGAGCUGUCGGUGGAAACUGUCUGGCUAGAGUCCGGAAGAGGAGAAUGGAAUUCCUGGUGUAGCGGUGAAAUGCGCAGAUAUCAGGAGGAACACCAGCGGCGAAGGCGGCGCUCUGGGCCGGUACUGACACUGAGGAGCGAAAGCGUGGGGAUCAAACAGG
rnacentral:rRNA from 1 species